rnacentral:tRNA from 1 species
GCGGGCGUAGUUCAGAGGUAGAACGUCAGCUUCCCAAGCUGAACGGGCGCUGACUCUCGGACUUGUUUUUCAUGAGUUUUUGCCGCGCCGCG